CAUACAGGAAGGACGAGGGCGAGUCCUGGUUACUGACGUGUGUGGGUGCGAAUGUGGGUAAGAUUUUCAUUGAUUUGUUCUCCGUUGGAAAUUGUCCAGCCAGUAUUGAUUUCACGUUUCAAUUUUUCUUGUUAUUUUCGCUGAAUGAAUUACAGGAACACACCUAUCAUAUGCCCUAGCAGUGCAGGCCUGAACACAUGUCAUAUGUUGGAGUAGAUGCAAGUAUAUGAAUGAUGAAUGGGUGCUGCCUUAAAUCAUCAGCACAUUAGUGGUGCCCGAUCAAAGUCAAACGCUCGCCCUGGACAGCCUGUUCGCCAAAGUGGUUACGCCGAGCUGUAGCUGCUGGGCGCCCAUCUAGCCGCUCUGCUGGGUGUGGCGUCACUCCUGUUCCCGGCAACAGGUACUUCUCUACCAAACAAAUUAACUUAGAUUGUGCUGCUGCAAGAGUUUUU
rnacentral:lncRNA from 1 species